rnacentral:rRNA from 1 species
UACGUAGGUGGCAAGCGUUGUCCGGAUUUAUUGGGUUUAAAGGGUGCGUAGGCGGUCUUAUAAGUCAGUGCUGAAAUAUCCCGGCUUAACCGGGAGGGUGGCAUUGAUACUGUAGGACUUGAGUAGAGUUGAGGUUGGCGGAAUUGACGGUGUAGCGGUGAAAUGCUUAGAUAUCGUCAAGAACACCGAUAGUGAAGACAGCUAACUAAGCUCUAACUGACGCUGAGGCACGAAAGUGUGGGGAGCAAACAGG